ensembl:lncRNA
AAGCAAUUAGUCAAGAAUGGAAAAUUACUUUUUCUCUGUGUGUUUGGCUCCGGUGACUGAGCUGCUGCCAUUCCCUGGGGCUUCUGCAGGGCUGUGGUGAGGACCAGGUGGUAUGGCUUUGGAUAGGGAAUCCCUCUGGGGUGGGGGCUUAGGGCUCAGUGGCCCGAGGGCUGUCCUCUAGCCUCUCCCUGGAAGCUCCUUGACAUGGCCUUGGCUGUCCUGUGUCCUGUGCCGUAGGAUCUUUCUUCAGGUUACUAAAUUGAUGUGUCAAGAGCAGACGAUGAUGGCCUAUUUCAUCCCCGCAUUCUUGUGGGAUCGGUGAGUACCUGUUUAUCUUAGUUGGGAUUGGCCCCUACAGGAAGCAGAGCCUGAAGCAAGGUCUUGGGUGCAGGUGUUUUUUGUUUUUUUGUUUUUUUUUUAAUUAAAAAAGUUUUGAUCAAGCCAAGCAGCGUGCAGGAUCUUAGUUCCCUUACUAGAGAUCGAGUACAGGCCCAUGGAAGCUCAGAGUCCUAACCAAUGGACUACCAGGGAAUUCCUGGGUGCAGGCAAUUUCAUUGGGAAGCAGGAGUGAGUGGGGAGGAGAGUCAUGGAGGGAGGGAAAGCCACACAAGGCGCAUGUGGAGGUUGCUGCUAUGCCUAAUAGAUGCUUAUUCCACAGGACUUCAGAAGAAGGCAGAACAUCUCCCAGAAUGCCCGCCUGAGGGAGAGGGGGUCCCAGCAUUCAUCCAUUGGCUCCCUCCCCAUUGGCUGCCGGUUGCGCUGGGGGUGUCUGCUCCCCUUAUUUCUGGGCAGCAUUUGCCUGAAAAGGUCUUUGAUCUGCAGUGCAUGAAGACAGGAGGCUGCCAGCCGAGGCACCUGAGUCCUCACAGAACCAUCGUUUGCAGCUGUAGCUACCACCCGAGUUAGGCUCUGGGGAUGCAGCCCUGAGUCCCAAAGCUACAGAGGCUGCUGUGCCCUGCUUAUCGAGUCAUGCUGGGAGGAGUGCAACCUUAGAGGAACGGGAUCUAGAGCUCCCUGUACUGAUGCCAGUCUCACAGACACCUUUCUCCACUCCCUACUCUCCUCCCCUAGGCUGUGAGUUCCUGAGAAAAGGGACCCUGAUUGUACAUUUCUUGGUUCCCAGUGUCCUGCCCAGAACACAACAUGGGGCUCAGGAAAUAUAUGUUGUGGAGAAAACAAAUGCUUGGAGGGGGCAGGAGUCAGGAUGUGUGCAGGACCUAGAAAGGCUUCCUGCCUGGUCACCUACAUGGGCAAGUCCAGGGAUGCCCAGAAACAUCCCUGGGGAUGUAACCCCUGGAUCCCUUCACCAGCUCUGGGAUAAUGAUCUCUUAAAGGGCUAAUACUCAGUUGACCUUGACCCAUAGGGAAAAUGCAACCUAAGCUGGUGUUGGGGUUGUAAAGGCGCAGGUGCCACUGGGAGGGUAGAGGGUUUGUCUGCAGUUUUUGUGUCUGUCCUGCUUCUCCCCUUACUGUGACAAUGCCCUCUCCUUUGGGAGAAUUGGUGCCUCCUCACUCCUUCCUCACUCCAUGUGCUUCUGAAGGGGCUGCCAAUCACAUUACCUUGUGACCACAUGAUCCAGCCACAGUGAUUGGCUCAGGAAUGGGCACAUGACUCAAGCUGGGCCAAUCAGAAUCCUUCCCUGAGACUGUACACAUGGACGCUUGGAGAAAGAGAAGCCUUUCCUUCCAGCCCAGACUUUGGAUUGGAGGGUGAUCCCUGAGGUCCAGUGGCCAUGUCUUUCCAGGUGAAGUGGCCACCCAGACAGAAGGGAAAGGGGAACAAGCUCCUGGGGGAACAAACUUCCAGCUGUAUGGUGGUUUGUCACUUCAGGAUGAACCCAGCUAGGACCCUGAACUCCUGUCUGGAGACUCUGUUGGGGCAGCCUCCUCUGGCCUUUUCAAUAUGCCAUAAUGAUUGGCUGCCUGUUCUAAUUUAGGCAGCCUGGCCAUCAUAAACAAAGCCCGACUGCUUUGCAGGUACAAAGGUUAGAUUUGCAUGAAGAGGCCUGUGUAAAUCCCACUGCUUUUCCAUUACCAUUCCUCGCCUCUGACGUCACAAGUUGGGGACUGGUUGAAACACAGGGUGUUAAGCUGCCUGGUCUCUUCUCUUCCACUGGGCCUGAGCCUGACCUCCACCCUGCUCUCCCGACUUCAUGGCAGGACCCUCCUCUGGCCUUAGAGCAACUCCCUCUUCUAGACCAGCACUGUCCAGUGGCAACAUAAUAUGAGCCAUGUGGCAAUUUCAAAUUUUCUAGCAGCCAUAUUAAAAUAAUAUAAAAAGAAACAGAUUAAAUUAAUUUAAAAUUAUUUUAUUUAAUACAGUGUAUCUAAAUUAUUAUUAUUUCAACAUAUAAUUGAUGUACAGAUUAUUAAUGAGAUAUUUUAUAUUCUAGGCUUCCUAGGUGGUGCUAAUGGUAAAGAACCCACCUGCCAAUGCAAGAGACAUAAGAGACACAGGUUCAAUCCCUGGGUCAGGAAGAUCCCCUGGAGGAGGGCAUGGCAACCCACUCAAGUAUUCUUGCCUGGAGAAUCCCGUGGACAGAGGAGCCUGACAAGCUAUAGUCCAUAGAGUCACACAGAGUCAGACACGACUGAAGCGACUUAGCAUGCAUGCAUGAACGUUUUAUAUUCUAUUUUCAUACUAAGUCUUCACUCUCACAGGACAUGCCCAUUUGGACCAGCCACAUUUCAAGGGCUCAGUAGCCACACAUAGCUGGUGAUCAUUGGGCUGGACAGUGUAGCUCUUGAUCCCUCCCUUGUGCAGGAAAGCAGCUUGCUGCCUGCAAAAGCUUGGGUGAUUUCAGUGUCUUCAUUUCAGCUCAGUUUCUCAUUUGCCCUAAAAUGCUAUUAUGUGUUCCUUACUUUGGAGCUGUGGUGGGAUCUUGGUAGUUAGCCCAUAGAUCUGGAAGGCAAGGUCUCAAGGUCAGAAAUUCCUCACCCCUGGCAGGCAAAAGGAAGUCAUGGGGCUUACUGUUUGUUUUUUAAUUUUGGGGGGUAAUUUUAGAUUUACAGAGAAGUUAUAAAGAUGAUACAGAGAGUUCCCGUACACACUUCACCCUGUUCCUCUAAUGAUAAUUUUACCUAAUUAUAGUACAUUUAUUAAAGUUAACAAAUUAAGCCUGGUACAAUCUGUUAACUAAUCUUUUGGACUUUAUUUGGAUUUCAUCUGUCUUUCCACUGAUGUCCUUUUUCUGUUCCAAGAAAAUACUUGAUUUUUAAUAAAUAAAUCUAUCUAUCCAUCUACUCAUCUAUCAGUCAUCCAACUACCUAUAGAUACAUUGAGGUAAAAUUGAUAUAUGGUGAAUUAGUGCAUAUAAAAUAUUCAGUUCAGUCGCUCAGUCAUGUUCAACUCUUUGCGACCCAAUGGACUACAGCAUGCCAGGCCUCCCUGUCCAUCACCAACUCCCGGAGUUUAUUCAAACUCAUGUCCAUUGAGUUAGUGAUGCCAUCCAACCAUCUCACUCUCUGUCAUCCCUUGGACAAGUCUAACAUUUGUAUAUAUUUGUGAAACCAUCACAUGAUAGAUAUGAACCAUAAAGUAACAAAUAGCCAAGCUUAUUUAGAGUUUUUUUUUUAAGUCUUUAAGUCACUUCAGUCAUGUCUGACUCUGGGCGACCCCACAGACAGCAGCCCACCAGGCUCCCCUGUCCCUGGGAUUCUCCAGGCAAAAACACUGGAGUGGGUUGCCAUUUCCUUCUCCAAUGCAUGAAAGUGAAAAGUGAAAGUGAAGUCGCUCAGUCGUGUGCAACUUUUAGCGACCCCAUGGGCUGCAGCCCACCAGUCUCCUCCGUCCAUGGGAUUUUCCAGGGAAGAGUACUGGAGUGGGGUGCCAUUGCCUUCUCCGUAUUUAGAGUUUACGAAAUGCCAAACAUUAUCUUAAACACUUUACAUGAAUAAACAUAUUUAACCCUUGCAACAGUUUGUGGUAGAUCAGAUUACUGCUGCCAUUUCUUUAUUCCUUGUUAUAGAAUUAUGCCCCUAUGCCCUUUGCUGUGUGAUAUGACAGGGGCUCCCUCUAGAAUAAGGGGAGUAUAUUUUCCACCUAUUAUGGACUGAACUGUGUCCGUCCAAAUCCUUGUCUUGAAGCACUGACCCCCAAUGUGACUGUUCUUGGAGAUAAAGCCUUUCAGGGGAUAAAGUUAAAUGAAGCCAUAUGGGUGGGGGCCUAAUCCAACAGGACUGGUGUCUUUAUAGAAAGAGGAAGAGCUAGCAGGGGAAUGCACACAGAGGAAAGGCCAUGUGAGGACACAGGGAGAAGGUGGCCGUCUGCAGGCCAGGAAGAGAAAUCUCACCAGAAACCCAUCCUGCUAACACCUUGAGCUGAAUUUCCAGCCACCAGAAUGCAAGAAAAUAGAGUUCUGUCAUUAAGCCAUCCAGCUUGUGCUGUUUUGUUACGGCAGCCCAAGCAGACUAAUAACAUCACUCUGGUGAGAGUGACUGACCUUGGCCAGUGAUAUGUCAGCAGUUUGCCUCUUUAGUAUGGCUUUCGUGUGUUUGGAGGACUUGGCUUGCCUGCCUAUGUGCCUAUGACUCCUUAUGAGAGAGAUAAACCUGGAAAACUGCUGGUCCAUGGAGAAGGAGAAAAAACACAGAACCAACCUGAACUCAACCCACAAUCUGCAGCCUCAGCCAAGACUUGCUGAUCAUCACCCAACUCAGCAGAACUUCAGCUGACUGAAAAAACCCAUGACAAAGAAAGGGAAUGUAGAGAUUGUAAGCCAUUGAGAUUUUGGGAUUGUUUGUUAUGCAGCCAAAACUAAUAAGCAGUUAAUUGAGAUAAUAUUAUUAUCUCACAUUUUAUCAGUGAAGGAAGUGAGACACAGAGAGCUUAAGUACUUGUCCAAGGUCACACAGCUAGUUUGUGGCCGAUCUAAGAUAUAAACUCGAGCAGCCUGGCUCCAACGUACACGCUUGCAACCACCACACACACACUAGUCCUUAUAAAAUCAGAGUUCUUCACCAUUCUUUGAUUGGAUGAUUUAAUUAAUUCGUUCUUUGACUUGUUAAUUCAUCAAACAUAGAUAUUUGGUUUCCGCAUUAUUUUUUCUCAUGAUAUCCCUAUCUUCCCCUUAGCAGUUAUCAAUAACUGUUGUUUAUAUGUGUCUUUUUCUAUGGUGGUUUUCUAUCCCCCUUGCUAGACAUUCAGCUCUGUGAGGGCAGGGAAUGUAUCUUUUUUGUUCUCACAGUAUACUGAUCAAUAACAGUAACAUCCUGUUAAAUAUAAGUGAGUUAAUUGUUAAAUGCCAGCACUGGUUAUGUUUUGGGACCUAGAAAUAAGGCAUUUCACCCUCUCUUAGACACCAAGAUUAUGAUGGAAGUAGCUAAAGGGUGAGCAAGGUAUAGAGAGCAGUGGGGCACAAAGAUGAAUCAUUUAUUCGGCUGUCAGGGAGGUGCAUUAGGGGUUUCACAGAGGAGAUAAAUAGUUGGGACUUGAAGGAAGAGUAGAGAAAAUCUCUGAUUUACUCUGAUUUAGAAGGCAAUCCCUAGCAGAGAGAACAACCAAGGAAAAGCAGGGAGGUUUAAAUGCAUGGUGGCUGCUGGACUUUGUGGGUUAUCCAGGUUGGUUGAAACAUAAUGUGUGUGGAGGAACUGUCUGGAGGUCAGCUGGAGGAGGGGGUAAUGGUCUGAUCCCCGAAUGCCAAGCUAAGGAGCUUGGACUCCACCUACAGGUCAUGGGGAGGAGUCGAUUGCCUAAUCCUGGAAGUGUUUGAGCUGACACUACAGGCACUUUCCUAAGAUUGUGUUAAGAGUAUUUAUGCAUCAGAAGAGGGCAGAAGUUAUGCAGAUUAAUAAGGGGAAACCUUACUGAAAUGGAGUCAAGAGGCCAGAAUGGGAGCUCUCAGGCUUGUACCAAUCAAAGUCAAUAUAUAUCCCUACAGGAAGAUGUACCUUGCAUUUCUGGCAGGAAUGAAACUAGAAGGAGGAAGAGAUUUUCUCCUUGCCUGGAAACAGCUCAGCCAAUGAGAGACUAUCACAGUUUAGCUAAUGGAAAGACAGUAUACUUCAAACUCCCAGUUUCCUCCUAAGGACUUUUUGCUUAUAACAGCCCCACCCAGCUUUUCCCUUCUCUGUGAAAGAGUUCCCUCUCCUUUACUUAACAGGAUUUGCAAGUGAUUCACUGUAGUUGCAUGUCUUGAGCUGCAAUUCUUUGCUGCUCCCAAAUAAACCCAUCCUGAUGGUAAAAUAGCUGGCAGUUUCAUUGUUUUAGGUUGAUAUUACACGGAGGUUCCAUUAAAAUGUGGAGAAGAUCGCCCCCCAACCCCCUCCCCAGCUGGACAACUCUGAGGCUGGUGAGCAAACAUCCUGGUACCCACGGAGCCCACUGAGUUCACUGCUUUCUAGCUGAUCCCGGAGUUUAAGGGCUCCAGCCCUAGUGUCAUCUUACUCCUCUGGGCCUAUCAGAACCUGACCCUUCAAAGUCCUGGAGCUGAUUCUUGAAACACUGAUUAUUUGUCCCUGUUGAAUCAGCUAUCACACUCCUCAGCUGGCAAAAAUCUCCAACUGGUAUUGGUGAAAUCCACAGUGCACCUUCCAUCAAGUUUCAAAUAGAUCACUUCAAACCCCUCCCAAGAAUUAAUCAAUUUCCUAUCAACCCACUCCAGUAUUCUUGCCUGGGAAGUCCCAUGGACAGAGGAACCUGGCAGGCUACGGUCAAUGGGGUCAUAAAGAGUUGGACAUGACUUAGUGACUAAACAACAACAACAGUAAGUAAAGGAGUUCCUUCAAUGUAUAAAGCCUAUGAGAGAGGAUCUCAAGGCUCAUGGCCUCAUUAUCCCUUGCACUAACUGUGGUGUGGAGAAGACUCUUGAGAGUCCCUUGGACUGCAAGGAGAUCCAACCAGUCCAUCCUAAAGGAGAUCAGUCCUGGGUGUUCAAUGGAAGGACUGAUGUUGCAGCUGAAACUCCAGUACUUCGGCCACCUGAUAUGAAGAGCUAACUCAUUUGAAAAGACCCUGAUGCUGGUAAAGAUUGAGGGCAGGAGAAGAAAGGGACGACAGAGGAUGAGAUGGUUGGAUGGCAUCACCGACUCAAUGGACAUGGGUUUGGGUAGACUCUGGAAGUUGGUGAUAGAUAGGGAGGCCUGGCGUGCUGCGGUUCAUGGGGUCGCAAAGAGCUGGACACGACUGAGUGACUGAACUGAACUGAAUCCCUCUAAUACCCCUGUUUUACCUAUGAGAAAACCCAAGGGAUGACCUCCGAGCAAUAAAAGCACUCUUAUCUUGUGACAGGGUUCCCAGGUGACGCCAGUGGUAAGAAACCUGCCUGCCAAUGCAGGCGACUUAAGAGAUGCAGGUUCGAUCUCUGGGUCGG